rnacentral:lncRNA from 1 species
UCCAGCGGAAAAAGGCCACAAAAACGGGUGGGCUAUAGCCUAGGGGGUGGGGCUGGCCGACUUCGUCCGCCGGACUCGGAAUGGCGCGAAACUUUGCGAGGCGCCUCCGUGUGCCAAAAAUAAACCGCGGCCACAGCCGCGCCCAAAAAUAACCGCCCGAAGGCCGGGGCGCCAAGUUCGUCCUGCGGAAAAAGCCCACAAAAACGAGUGGGCUAUAGCCUUGGCAGGUGGGGCUGGCCAACUUCUUCCGCCGGACUCAGAAUUGCGCGAGACUUUGCGAGGAGCCUCCGGGUGCCAAAAAUAGGCCGCGGGCACAGCCGCACCCAAAAAUAACCGCCGGAAGGCCGGGACGCCAAGUUCGUCCAGCGUAAAAAGCCCACAAAAACGGGUGGGCUAUAGCCUUGGGGGGUGGGGCUGGCCCACUUCGUCCGCCGGGCUCGGAAUGCCGCGAGACUUUACGAGGAGCCUCCGUGUGCAAAAAAAAGGCUGCGGGCAAAGCCGCGCCCAAAAAUAACCGCCCGAAGGCCGGGGCGCCAAGUUCGUCCAGAGGAAAAAGGCCACAAAAACGGGUGGGCUAUAGCCUUGGGGGGUGGGGCUGGCCAACUUCGUCCGCCGGACUCGGAAUGCUACGAGACUUUGCGAGGGGCCUCCGUGUGCCAAAAAUAGGCCGCGGACAAAGCCGCGCCCAAAACUAACCGCCCGAAGGCCGGCGCGCCAAGUUCGUCCAGCGGAAAAAGCCCACAAAAACGGGUGGGCUAUAGCCUUGGGGGGUGGGGCUGGCCACUUCAUCCCGCCGGACUCGGAAAUGGCGCGAGACUUUGCGANNNNNNNNNNNNNNNNNNNNNNNNNNNNNNNNNNNNNNNNNNNNNNNNNNNNNNNNNNNNNNNNNNNNNNNNNNNNNNNNNNNNNNNNNNNNNNNNNNNNCCGCCCGAAGGCCGGGGCGCCAAGUUCGUCCAGCGGAAAAAGGCCACAAAAACGGGUGGGCUAUAGCCUUGGGGGGUGGGGCUGGCCAACUUCGUCCGCCGGACUCGGAAUGGCGCGAGACUUUGCGAGGGGCCUCCGCGUGCCAAAAAUAGGCCGCGGGCUAAGCGUCGCCCAAAAAUAACCGCCCGAAGGCCGGGGCGCCAAGUUCGUCCAGCGGUAAAAGUCCACAAAAACGGGUGGGCUAUAGCCUUGGGGGUUGGGGCUGGUCAACUUCGUCCGCCGGACUCGGAAUGCCGCGAGACUUUUCGAGGGGCCUCCAUGUGCCAAAAAUAGACCGCGGACAAAGCCACGCCCAAAAAUAACCGCCCGAAGGCCGGGGCGCCAAGUUCGUCCAGCGGAAAAAGGCCACAAAAACGGGUGGGCUAUAGCCUUGAGGGGUGGGGCUGGCCAACUACAUCCGCCGGAUUCGGAAUGGCACGAGACUUUGCGAGGUGACUCCGUGUGCAAAAAAUAGGCCGCGGGCAAAGCCUCGCCCAAAAAAUAACCGCCCGAAGGCCGGGGCGCCGAGUUCGUCCAGCGGAAAAAGGCCACAAAAACGGGUGGGCUAUAGCCUUGGGGGGUGGGGCUGGCCAACUUUGUCCGCUGGACUCGGAAUGGCGUGAGACUUUGUGAGGGGCCUCCGUGUGCCAAAAAUAGGCUGUGGGCAAAGCCGCGCCCAAAAAUAACUGCCCGAAGGCCGGGGCGCCAAGUUCGUCCACCGGAAAAAGGCCACAAAAAUGGGUGGGCUAUAGCCUUGGGGGGUGGGGCUGGCCAACUUCAUCCGCCGGACUCGGAAUGCCGCGAGACUUUGCGAGGGGCCUCCGUGUGCCAAAAAUAGGCCGCCGGCAAAGCCGCACCCAAAAAUAACCGCCCGAAGGCCGGGGCGCCGAGUUCGUCCAGCGGAAAAAGGCCACAAAAACGGGUGGGCUAUAACCUUGGGGGGUGGGGCUGGCUAACUUCGUCCGCCGGACUCGGAAUGCCGCGAGACUUUACGAGGGGCCUCCAUGUGCCAAAAAUAGGCCGCGGACAAAGCCACGCCAAAAAAUAACCGCCCGAAGGCCGGGGCGGCAAGUUCGUCCAGCGGAAAAAGGCCACAAAAACGGCUGGGCUAUAGCCUUGAGGGGUGGGGCUGGCCAACUUCAUCCGCCGGAUUCGGAAUGGCACGAGACUUUGCGAGGUGACUCCGUGUGGAAAAAAUAGGCCGCGGACGAAGCCUCACCCAAAAAUAACCACCCGAAGGCCGGGGCGCCAAGUUCGUCCAGCGGAAAAAGGCCACAAAAACGGGUGGGCUAUAGCCUUGGGGAGUGGGACUGGCCCACUUCGUCCGCCGGACUCGAAAUGCCGUGAGACAUUGCGAGGGGCCUCCGUGUGCCAAAAAUAGGCUGCGGGCAAAGCCGCGCCCAAAAAUAACUGCCCGAAGGUCGGGGCGCCAAGUUCGUCCAGCGGAAAAAGGCCACAAAAACGGGUGGGCUAUAGCCUUGGGGGGUGGGGCUGGCCCACUUCGUCCGCCGGGCUCGGAAUGCCGCGAGACUUUGCAAUGGGCCUCCAUGUGCCAAAAAUAGGCCGCGGGCAAAGCCGCGCCCAAAAAUAACUGCCCGAAGGCCGGGGCGCCAAGUUCGUCCAGCGGAAAAAGGCCACAAAAACGGGUGGGCUAUAGCCUUGGGGGGUGGGGCUGGUCAACUUCGUCCGCCGGACUCGGAAUGCCGCGAGACAUUGCGAGGGGCCUCCGUGUGCCAAAA